AUACGGUGAAACUGCGAAUGGCUCAUUAAAUCAGUUAUCGUUUAUUUGAUAGUACCUUGCUACUUGGAUACCUGUGGUAAUUCUAGAGCUAAUACAUGCUAAAAACCUCGACUUCGGAAGAGGUGUAUUUAUUAGAUAAAAAACCAAUGCCCUUCGGGGCUCCUUGGUGAUUCAUAAUAACUUAACGAAUCGCAUGGCCUUGCGCCGGCGAUGGUUCAUUCAAAUUUCUGCCCUAUCAACUUUCGAUUGUAUGGUCUUGGCUUACAAUGGUUUCUACGGGUAACGGGGAAUUAGGGUUCGACUCCGGAGAGGGAGCCUGAGAAACGGCUACCACAUCCAAGGAAGGCAGCAGGCGCGCAAAUUACCCAAUCCCGACACGGGGAGGUAGUGACAAUAAAUACUGAUGCAGAGCUCUUUUGGGUUUUGCAAUUGGAAUGAGUACAAUUUAAAUCCCUUAACGAGGAACAAUUGGNGGGCAAGUCUGGUGCCAGCAGCCGCGGNAAUUCCAGCUCCAAUAGCGUAUAUUAAAGUUGNUGCAGNUAAAAAGCUCGUAGUUGAAACUUGGGCCUGGCUGGCCGGUCCGCCUCACCGCGUGUACUGGUCCGGCCGGGCCUUUCCUUCUGGGGAGCCGCAUGCCCUUCAUUGGGUGUGCCGGGGAACCAGGACUUUUACUUUGAAAAAAUUAGAGUGUUCAAAGCAGGCCUAUGCUCGAAUACAUUAGCAUGGAAUAAUAGAAUAGGACGUGUGGUUCUAUUUUGUUGGUUUCUAGGACCGCCGNAAUGAUUAAUAGGGAUAGNCGGGGGCGUCAGUAUUCAAUUGUCAGAGGUGAAAUUCUUGGAUUUAUUGAAGACUAACUACUGCGAAAGCAUUCGCCAAGGAUGUUUUCAUUAAUCANUGAACGAAAGUUAGGGGAUCGAAGACGAUCAGAUACCGNCGNAGUCUUAACCAUAAACUAUGCCGACUAGGGAUCGGNCGGUGNU
rnacentral:rRNA from 1 species